rnacentral:rRNA from 1 species
CACGAAGUUAGCCGGGGCUUCUUCUUCCGGUACCGUCAUUAUCGUCCCGGUCGAAAGGAGUUUACGUCCCAAGGGACUUCAUCCUCCACGCGGCGUUGCUGCGUCAGGGUUUCCCCCAUUGCGCAAAAUUCCCCACUGCUGCCUCCCGUAGGAGUCUGGACCGUGUUUCAGUUCCAGUGUGUCCGUGCGCCCUCUCAGGCCGGAUACAGAUCAUCGUCUUGGUGGGCCAUUACCCCGCCAACUAACUAAUCUGCCGCGACCCCCUCUCAAGCGGAUUGCUCCUUUGACCCGUAGGUGUUAUGCGGUAUUAGCCCGGGUUUCCCAGGUUACUUCCCCACUCGAGGGUUAGGUUAGUCACGUGUUACUCACCCGUGCGCCUCUGUACUCAUGGAUUGCUCCUACUUUCUCGAUCGACUUGCAUGUGUUAGGCACGCCGCAGCGUUGAUUCUGAGCCAGGACUACAAACUCU